rnacentral:lncRNA from 1 species
CUUGGCUUGCAUAUCAUCAGCUUUCAGUAAAAGAGAUAGCAGCAUGAGGCAAGCGGACGGACUAUGUUCAUGCAGACCAUCUUCAGUUAAGAGGUAUAUCCUGACAAAAACAUAACUCUUAGCUUCUUACAUAUGCGAUGAACAGAGCUCUAUGACAACUGUAUGAACUUACUUAUUUCUUUGGUCAAUUCUGUGGAUCAACUGUCCAGCGCUGGUGGUGGCGCAGGUGGAGUUUGCCUGCUCAAGGUCAGGGGAGAUAAAGCCUUCACCACAAUGCUCAUGCUUGGACGGAACUCGGCUUCAUAUUGCACACACAGAGCUGCUACCGCCCCAAGCUGUAUUAAGGU